rnacentral:rRNA from 1 species
AGGGGCAGCAUGCUAGUUUGCUUCCAAAGUAAAGAUGGCGACCGGCGCACGGGUGAGUAACACGUAUCCAACCUGCCGAUAACUCGGGGAUAGCCUUUCGAAAGAAAGAUUAAUAUCCGAUGGUAUAUUAAUAUCGCAUGGUUUUAUUAUUAAAGAAUUUCGGUUAUCGAUGGGGAUGCGUUCCAUUAGUUUGUUGGCGGGGUAACGGCCCACCAAGACUACGAUGGAUAGGGGUUCUGAGAGGAAGGUCCCCCACAUUGGAACUGAGACACGGUCCAAACUCCUACGGGAGGCAGCAGUGAGGAAUAUUGGUCAAUGGACGAGAGUCUGAACCAGCCAAGUAGCGUGAAGGAUGACUGCCCUAUGGGUUGUAAACUUCUUUUAUAUGGGAAUAAAGUAUUCCACGUGUGGAAUUUUGUAUGUACCAUAUGAAUAAGGAUCGGCUAACUCCGUGCCAGCAGCCGCGGUAAUACGGAGGAUCCGAGCGUUAUCCGGAUUUAUUGGGUUUAAAGGGAGCGUAGGUGGAUUGUUAAGUCAGUUGUGAAAGUUUGCGGCUCAACCGUAAAAUUGCAGUUGAAACUGGGAGUCUUGAGUACAGUAGAGGUGGGCGGAAU